rnacentral:rRNA from 1 species
UACGGGGGGUGCAAGCGUUGUCCGGAAUUACUGGGCGUAAAGGGCGUGUAGGCGGUUUAUUAAGUCAGAUGUGAAAGCCCACGGCUUAACCGUGGAACUGCAUUUGAAACUGAUAGACUUGAGUAUGAGAAGGGGUAGUGGAAUUCCCAGUGUAGCGGUGAAAUGCGUAGAUAUUGGGAAGAACACCAGUAGCGAAGGCGACUACCUGGCUCAUUACUGACGCUAAUGCGCGAAAGCGCGGGGAGCAAACAGG